CCUGCGGAGGGAUCAUUACUGA
rnacentral:rRNA from 1 species